AUAUAGUUCAUUCAUGCAUGUGUAUAAUUAUGUCUACAUUAUUUGGUCCCCUGCAUGCAGGACCUAGCGGGUGUGGCUCACAGCGAGGUUGAUCUCUCUGUAUUCCCAGAACCUCCUGCUACAGAUGAUACAGGAGAAGACUUGCUACCACUAGAAAAAGUGAAGAAUGCAAUCACUGCUGACUGGUACAGUGUGGCAAUACAGCUGGAUAUCGACUACAAAACUAGAAAGAAUCAAGUACAACUGAAUACUCGUAGAGAAGUCUUGGUGAUGAAUAAACACAAAACAAUAUACCCGUGAAGAAAACAGAAAUGAAGU